AUGUGCAGAAAGCACCCUAGAGAGAUGCAACACAGCAGAAAUGGAACCGCUGCGAUUGCAAAAGUUGAUCACCCAUUGCAGAGCACAUCUAACAUAGCAGCAAACAUAUCUUUUGGAAACAGCCCAAUGAUCCCUCUGCCAAAUCCAGGCUUUGAGUGUUUGCCCAAGUAAGAAAGAAGCAGAUGCAGUGUAAUUGGGAACUCUGACACCUUGUUGAAACGUGAGGACAGCUGGACACAAAGAAAACUUUUUCUAGGCUUGAUGGUGAGCACUGUGUGUCCAGACAGGCUUUGGAGAAAAUCGUAACAAAUGCCAGGUGAGCUGAUGCUAACUACUCAAGGGUGCAUGUUUGGAGGGUGCUGUUUGCAUCUUGUUGCUCUGAUACAAACAUUAGCAAAACAGAGAACGGUGUGGGGAAAUCUGAAAAAUGGCCCUCUUACUGUUGUGUGAAUUUGUUGGCAGCUAACGAGGAUUUCACUUCCCCACCCCCCCCCAAAAAAAAAAAUGGGGGGGGGGGGGGAAUCCCAAAUCCUGCAGUAAGCAGAGCCACGUUGCUGGUGGGAGGUUUGAUGACACCUGGUGGCAAACGGGGAUAAUGCGGCAGGGAGGACACAUGGGUGACAUGGGGGUCACUGACACUAAAGGAAAACGAGGUCCAGGGGGAGUAUAAUAUGAGCUGGAGCCUGACAGCAAGAAGUAGAAAAUAAUAUGUUGUGAAUGGGGUAGAGAAGCUUAACGAC
rnacentral:lncRNA from 1 species